rnacentral:rRNA from 1 species
UACAGAGGUCCCAAGCGUUGUUCGGAUUUACUGGGCGUAAAGGGUGCGUAGGUGGCGAGGUAAGUUUUGAUGUGAAAUCUCCGAGCUCAACUCGGAAAUGGCAUUGAAUACUAUCCCGCUUGAGGGUCGGAGGGGAGACUGGAAUUCUCGGUGUAGCAGUGAAAAUGCGUAGAUAUCGAGAGGAACACCGGUGGCGAAGGCGGCGUUCUGGACUGCUACUGACACUGAGGAACGAAAGCCAGGGGAGCAAACGGG